UUUUUUUGGCCUUGAUCACCUGCAGUUUUACCAAAAUAAAAUUUGUUAAAGCUGCAUCAAGCAAUUCAUUGUAUCUCAUGAAGAAGUUAAAAGUUUUAAGUGGAGUCAUUGCAAAUUCAAAUCCUUAGGACACCUAGACAUAAACCUCCUCUGAGCUUAGACUGGCUUGAGAAUCCAAAGGCGUCUUGAGAAUAGUUCCAGCAGAUUCCGCCUGUAGAACGCACUUUUCGAAUUCCAUUAGCAACGAAGCCGCAAUAUCUUGCAUCAUCGUUUGCAAAUGGAUC
rnacentral:misc_RNA from 1 species